rnacentral:rRNA from 1 species
GACGAACGCUGGCGGCGUGCCUAAUACAUGCAAGUAGAACGCUGAAGGAGGAGCUUGCUUCUCCGGAUGAGUUGCGAACGGGUGAGUAACGCGUAGGUAACCUGCCUGGUAGCGGGGGAUAACUAUUGGAAACGAUAGCUAAUACCGCAUAACAGUAGAUAUUGCAUGAUAUCUGCUUGAAAGGUGCAAUUGCAUCACUACCAGAUGGACCUGCGUUGUAUUAGCUAGUUGGUGAGGUAACGGCUCACCAAGGCAACGAUACAUAGCCGACCUGAGAGGGUGAUCGGCCACACUGGGACUGAGACACGGCCCAGACUCCUACGGGAGGCAGCAGUAGGGAAUCUUCGGCAAUGGACGGAAGUCUGACCGAGCAACGCCGCGUGAGUGAAGAAGGUUUUCGGAUCGUAAAGCUCUGUUGUAAGAGAAGAACGAGUGUGAGAGUGGAAAGUUCACA